UACGGAGGAGGCAAGCGUUAUCCGGAAUUAUUGGGCGUAAAGCGUCCGUAGGUGGUUUAGUAAGUCUGCUGUUAAAGCGCGGGGCUUAACUCCGUAUCGGCAGUGGAAACUACUAGACUAGAGUGUGGUAGGGGUAGAGGGAAUUCCCAGUGUAGCGGUGAAAUGCGUAGAUAUUGGGAAGAACACCGGUGGCGAAAGCGUUCUGCUAGACCUGUACUGACACUGAGGGACGAAAGCUAGGGGAGCGAAUGGG
rnacentral:rRNA from 1 species